rnacentral:rRNA from 1 species
AUUGAACGCUGGCGGCAGGCUUAACACAUGCAAGUCGAGCGGAGAGAGGUAGCUUGCUACUGAUCUUAGCGGCGGACGGGUGAGCAAUGCUUAGGAAUCUGCCUAUUAGUGGGGGACGACGUCUCGAAAGGGACGCUAAUACCGCAUACGUCCUACGGGAGAAAGCAGGGGACCUUCGGGCCUUGCGCUAUCAGAUGAGCCUAGGUCGGAUUAGCUUGUUGGUGAGGUAAUGGCUCACCAAGGCGACGAUCCGUAACUGGUCUGAGAGGAUGAUCAGUCACACUGGAACUGAGACACGGUCCAGACUCCUACGGGAGGCAGCAGUGGGGAAUAUUGGACAAUGGGCGAAAGCCUGAUCCAGCCAUGCCGCGUGUGUGAAGAAGGUCUUCGGAUUGUAAAGCACUUUAAGUUGGGAGGAAGGGCAGUCAGCGAAUACCUGGUUGUUUUGACGUUACCGACAGAAUAAGCACCGGCUAACUCUGUGCCAGCCGCCGCGGUAAAAC